rnacentral:rRNA from 1 species
GCUUGCGGCGUGCUUAACACAUGCAAGUCGAACGGAAAGGCCCUGCUUUUGUGGGGUGCUCGAGUGGCGAACGGGUGAGUAACACGUGAGUAACCUGCCCUUGACUUUGGGAUAACUUCAGGAAACUGGGGCUAAUACCGGAUAGGAGCUCCUGCUGCAUGGUGGGGGUUGGAAAGUUUCGGCGGUUGGGGAUGGACUCGCGGCUUAUCAGCUUGUUGGUGGGGUAGUGGCUUACCAAGGCUUUGACGGGUAGCCGGCCUGAGAGGGUGACCGGCCACAUUGGGACUGAGAUACGGCCCAGACUCCUACGGGAGGCAGCAGUGGGGAAUAUUGCACAAUGGGCGGAAGCCCGAUGCAGCAACGCCGCGUGCGGGAUGACGGCCUUCGGGUUGUAAACCGCUUUCGCCUGUGACGAAGCGUGAGUGACGGUAAUGGGUAAAGAAGCACCGGCUAACUACGUGCCAGCAGCCGCGGUGAUACGUAGGGUGCGAGCGUUGUCCGGAUUUAUUGGGCGUAAAGGGCUCGUAGGUGGUUGAUCGCGUCGGAAGUGUAAUCUUGGGGCUUAACCCUGAGCGUGCUUUCGAUACGGGUUGACUUGAGGAAGGUAGGGGAGAAUGGAAUUCCUGGUGGAGCGGUGGAAUGCGCAGAUAUCAGGAGGAACACCAGUGGCGAAGGCGGUUCUCUGGGCCUUUCCUGACGCUGAGGAGCGAAAGCGUGGGGAGCGAACAGGCUUAGAUACCCUGGUAGUCCACGCUGUAAACGGUGGGUACUAGGUGUGGGGUCCAUUCCACGGGUUCCGUGCCGUAGCUAACGCUUUAAGUACCCCGCCUGGGGAGUACGGCCGCAAGGCUAAAACUCAAAGGAAUUGACGGGGCCCCGCACAAGCGGCGGAGCAUGCGGAUUAAUUCGAUGCAACGCGUAGAACCUUACCUGGGUUUGACAUGGAUCGGGAGUGCUCAGAGAUGGGUGUGCCUCUUUUGGGGUCGGUUCACAGGUGGUGCAUGGCUGUCGUCAGCUCGUGUCGUGAGAUGUUGGGUUAAGUCCCGCAACGAGCGCAACCCUUGUUCACUGUUGCCAGCACGUUAUGGUGGGGACUCAGUGGAGACCGCCGGGGUCAACUCGGAGGAAGGUGGGGAUGACGUCAAGUCAUCAUGCCCCUUAUGUCCAGGGCUUCACGCAUGCUACAAUGGCUGGUACAGAGAGUGGCGAGCCUGUGAGGGUGAGCGAAUCUCGGAAAGCCGGUCUCAGUUCGGAUUGGGGUCUGCAACUCGACCUCAUGAAGUCGGAGUCGCUAGUAAUCGCAGAUCAGCAACGCUGCGGUGAAUACGUUCCCGGGGCUUGUACACACCGCCCGUCAAGUCAUGAAAGUUGGUAACACCCGAAGCCGGUGGCCUAACCGUUGUGGGGGAGCCGUCGAAGGUGGGACUGGUGAUU